rnacentral:rRNA from 1 species
GUAAUACGUAAGGGGCGAGCUUUGUUCGGAAUUAUUGGGCGUAAAGGGUGCGUAGGUUGCUUCUUAAGUGUUUCUGUCAAGCCCGAGGCUCACCUUCGGGAAUCGGAGGCAUACUGGGGAGCUAGAGUCCGCGAGGGGUUAGUGGAAUUCCUGGUGUAGCAGUGAAAUGCAUAGAUAUCAGGAGGAACACCGGUGGCGAAGGCGACUAACUGGCGCUGGACUGUCACUGAUGCACGAAAGCUAGGGGAGCAAACAGGAUUAGAUACCCUGGUAGUCCUAGCCGUAAACGUUGUCAACUCGGUGAUGGGUGAGUCGAUCCGCUCAUUGCCUAAGCUAACGCGAUAAGUUGACCGCCUGGGGAGUAUGCGCGCAAGCGUGAAACUCAAAGGAAUUGACGGGGGCCCGCACAAGCGGUGGAGCAUGUGGUUUAAUUCGAUAAUAAGCGAGGAACCUUACCUGGAUUUGACAUGGACUAGAUCGGGUCUGAAAGGACCCCUCCCUUCGGGGCUGGUUCACAGGUGCUGCAUGGCUGUCGUCAGCUCGUGUCGUGAGAUGUUGGGUUAAGUCCCGCAACGAGCGCAACCCCUAUUAGCAGUUGCGACCAGUUCGGCUGAGCACUCUGCUGAGACUGCCUAUGAAAGUAGGAGGAAGGUGGGGAUGACGUCAAGUCCUCAUGGCCCUUAUGUCCAGGGCGACACACGUGCUACAAUGGGAGGUACAAACCGUUGCCAACCCGCGAGGGGGAGCUAAUCGGAAAAAACCUUUCUCAGUUCGGAUUGGAGUCUGAAACCCGACUCCACGAAGUUGGAAUCGCUAGUAAUCGCGAAUCAGCCAUGUCGCGGUGAUACGUUCCCGGGCCUUGUACACACCGCCCGUCACACCACCCGAAUUGGUUUGGCCCGAAGUCAGAUGGUUAACCUUUUUGGAGCCAUUUGCCGAAGGUCAGACUAUAACGGGGGGUGAAGUCGUAANCAG